UUCAAAUAAUAGUGUUUGGAUUGCUGGAUAUAAAAUGUAACAUCUAACAUUUAGAUGGGAGCUAAGUCCAAGUCCCAGCAAGCGAGAUGAAUCUGUAUGCUGGAUCUAUAACAUAAAAAAUAAAAUGACAAGAGCUGGACUCCAAUCAGCUGGAGCAUGGACACUACCACUACCACUACAAGUACUAACUAAUCUUAGGCUGACACGAGCACGAGUUGUUAGCUGUAGCAUCUACCAUAAGCAGAGCUGUUUUUCUCGAGCGCAAAUCAUCAGCUUGAUCCCGGUCUCGAACCUCGCACGCGCUCGUACCGCCCACCUCAGUCUCCAGCCUCCUAUUCAGCUUCAGCUUCUUAAAUCGCAACACCUACGUACGACUUGCUCGAGACUCUUCAUCAACCUCAACCACUUCCAAUUAAUGCCGAUGGAGUACCAAUAAAUAUAAUAAUUAAUACCAAGCCUUUACUGGUUAUCCUUACAUUAAAUAUCAAUUAUUAUUUAUCCUGCAAACCAGUAAAUAGUUACAGUUAUAUCACCCAACACUUGAAUUUAAAAUCAAUGUCCUCUUACGCAAGAGCAAAACUGUUUUGCGAACGCUCUUCGUUCCAGGCUUUAUUGCUCUCAAUCUUAGACAAUAGACACGUAUAACAUGCCGGUCUGUUUAAUCAUAAAGAGAUUCACCCUAUACUCAUCUCGGCAAUGUCUUAGUGAUGUUGUGUGUUGUAUUAUAUUAUAUCAAGACCAAGUCUAUUAUUAUCGGUGGCGUUGUGUUGACGAUCAAGAAACUAGUCGACAUAACAAACACAUGUGAGCAUGUGUGGAUAUGGAUCACAACAGUGUGGGUGGCAAGUUAAUCUCCGUACCGGAGUUGUAAUGAUAAUAAUUAUUAUCAUCUUCUUCGGAAUAAUCGGUGCAAUUUUAUGGUCUACUGAGAAACGCGUGGAUCCGUUCAUCAUCUAAUAUAUCACUGAUAUAUUGAGAUUGCAGAUAUAAUAGUUUUGGCUGAGGUUCGUGGGUGAGUGAACAUCUUCCGUUGUGUCUUCAGGUGUAGCGAGCACAUUCCUGAAGGCUAUCUCUUGGCAUUCUCAAUCACCCGAUUAUUAAAUAAAAGGCUUCUUCUAACAAGAUACUGAAGAAUCAACGCUCUCACAGGUCAAGGAUACCCUUUAGCUGCAAGGAUAAUAAUAUAAUACACAUAAGCCGAAAAUAUGCAAGGUACUUCCUGAAAAGAAGCUACACAAGUGAAAAGUAUCAGGACAAUGAGCUCGACUAAAGGACAAACGCCCUAAUGAGCUCUAUUUAUACUUAUACUUAUUUCUGAAUGAGUUGAGAAACGAGUCAACAACCCAAGACUCUUACCGUAUAGUAGUUAAGGACCGAGUAUUGUUCCACGAAGGCUCGACCACUUAUACAUUUUCAGGAUUAACUGGCUAUUCUAUAAAGGGUACAUUUCUUCUUAUUAUAUUUACUCCAAGAGACUCGACAUAAUAACCAAUAAUGUAACGAAUUUUAAAAACUUUUACCAGUUUAUUUUUUCAAGCUCCGCUGAAACAUGAAAAUUUUUUUCAACCAUCCUGAGCCUCCUGAUAUUAUUAGCCAUCUCUGGCCUAAUUAUGGUCCCUCUGGAAUUCGCCGGUUGAAAAAAGCACAGCCGACUUGUGAGUCCAUGAUCUCGAUAGUAAAUUUACAUGUACAUUUGUGGGCGAUGCCGACCAGAGACCGGAGUAUGUUCAUGUACGUAGAUACAGCCACUCCCAUAUCACAUCUCGCGUAAAACAACAUAACACAAGACAGAUAUAAGACUCUGGAGAAAAUGAGGGAGAGAGACCACGAAUCAUUAUCGUUUAUGCAAGCCAAGCUACGAUCGCUCAACUGGAACACCGUGAAAUAAAACGUGCAAGUAAACUCGGCGGCCUCGAUGACGUAAACACUUGGAUUUAUAUAUUUUUAUCCGCUAUCAAUCGUGUCUCUGGUCACCUAAAUCACCACUAAGACAUUUUCAGGAUAAAAAAUCUUAAACAAGAAAUAAUAUGCAUUAAUAUUAGAUUUUUUAGGCACAAAGCAGAGGCUGGGGACUUUCACCACGUACAUGGUCAGACCUUUCUCCGGGCGUUUUCUUCCCGAGCGCUAUUCACCGCAAGAUAACCCAUUGAAUUUAAUACGCAACUAAAACCAUUAUUGUAUAGACCAUUAUAUAUUCUCUCUGGAGAUCUUUUACCCCCCGGGUUAAAUUUACAACGAGCACAUUGCAGAGACCAGAAACCGUAGACCGGUCAGCUUCACCUUAGCUGUGGUACUUGUGCUGGAAUAAAGUGUUUACAGUGAACUUUUCAAGCUCACGCUACACUAGAGCGUAGUCAUGCUUGAGCACGCGAGUGCCCUCCAGCAUCAACGAGCAUCAUUUUAUAUUUUAUAUAUUUUAUAUGCUUAUUAUUUAUCCACAUACAUGUUGCAAGCUGGAGAGGCCAUCCUCUGGCUAUCUUCUUAGCUUGCUCAUAUUGGAAUAGAAGACUAGAGCCAGGAUAUUUUCAAGGCAGCUCCUUAAAGCAUCAUACAGACCAGUUCAACGUCAUCUUUGUAAACCAGAUAAAAAAGUAUAUUAUUCAAGAUUAGAUUAAAGCACGCAGGUGUGAGCCUGAGCAAUUGAUAGUAAGCCAUGAUUCAAAGUAUAAAUACCAAAGAUAAAUAAUAUAUAAGGAAAGUCCGAAAAAGGAAUAAAUAAAAGUUGUAACGAGAAGAAAAAGCUUGUCAGAGCAUUCUCUUCCCUGAGGAUCUAUACAGCUCGUGCAUGACCGAUUGUGGCUCGUGUGCGUAUCCAAGCGACAGAUAAACCGGCUUCAAGAAGUUAUCCAUCGACUUGCUGAAUAAUAAUCGCGUUUCACAUAUGUUCAGGGCUUAUCCGGUUCUAUAUUACACAGAA
rnacentral:lncRNA from 1 species